CUGCUCAGGAUGAACGCUAGCGGCAGGCUUAACACAUGCAAGUCGAGGGGCAGCGGGGAGGAAGCUUGCUUUCUCCGCCGGCGACCGGCGCACGGGUGAGUAACACGUAUGCAACCUGCCCCUGUCAGGGGGACAACCCGCCGAAAGGCGGGCUAAACCCGCGUACAUGCCACCGGGGCAUCCCGGAGGCAGGAAAGGCUUCGGCCGGACAGGGAUGGGCAUGCGGCGCAUUAGGCAGUAGGCGGGGUAACGGCCCACCUAACCGACGAUGCGUAGGGGUUCUGAGAGGAAGGUCCCCCACACUGGUACUGAGACACGGACCAGACUCCUACGGGAGGCAGCAGUGAGGAAUAUUGGUCAAUGGUCGGGAGACUGAACCAGCCAAGCCGCGUGAGGGAGGAAGGUACAGAGUAUCGUAAACCUCUUUUGUCAGGGAACAAAGACUGGGACGCGUCCCCGGAUGAGUGUACCUGAAGAAAAAGCAUCGGCUAACUCCGUGCCAGCAGCCGCGGUAAUACGGAGGAUGCGAGCGUUAUCCGGAUUUAUUGGGUUUAAAGGGUGCGCAGGCGGUCUGUUAAGUCAGCGGUCAAAGCCCGGGGCUCAACCCCGGCCCGCCGUUGAAACUGGCAGUCUCGAGUUGGAGAGAAGUAUGCGGAAUGCGCGGUGUAGCGGUGAAAUGCAUAGAUAUCGCGCAGAACUCCGAUUGCGAAGGCAGCAUGCCGGCUCCACACUGACGCUGAGGCACGAAAGCGUGGGUAUCGAACAGGAUUAGAUACCCUGGUAGUCCACGCAGUAAACGAUGAAUGCUGGCUGUCCGGGGGGACUGACCCCUGGGUGGCGAAGCGAAAGCGAUAAGCAUUCCACCUGGGGAGUACGCCGGCAACGGUGAAACUCAAAGGAAUUGACGGGGGCCCGCACAAGCGGAGGAACAUGUGGUUUAAUUCGAUGAUACGCGAGGAACCUUACCCGGGCUCAAACGGGGAGUGGCGCAGGCAGAGACGCCUGUUUCCCACGGGACACUCCCCGAGGUGCUGCAUGGUUGUCGUCAGCUCGUGCCGUGAGGUAUCGGCUUAAGUGCCAUAACGAGCGCAACCCCCGCGUGCAGUUGCUAACAGUCAACGCUGAGGACUCUGCACGGACUGCCGGCGCAAGCCGCGAGGAAGGCGGGGAUGACGUCAAAUCAGCACGGCCCUUACGUCCGGGGCGACACACGUGUUACAAUGGGUGGUACAGCGGGAAGCCAGGCGGCGACGCCGAGCGGAACCCGAAAUCCACUCUCAGUUCGGAUCGGAGUCUGCAACCCGACUCCGUGAAGCUGGAUUCGCUAGUAAUCGCGCAUCAGCCAUGGCGCGGUGAAUACGUUCCCGGGCCUUGUACACACCGCCCGUCAAGCCAUGGGAGCCGAGGGCGCUUGAAGUGCGUCGCCGCGAGGCGCGCCCUAGAGCGAAAUCGGUGACUGGGGCUAAGUCGUAACAAGGUAACCGU
rnacentral:rRNA from 1 species